rnacentral:rRNA from 1 species
AUUGAACGCUGGCGGCAGGCCUAACACAUGCAAGUCGAGCGGAUGAAGGGAGCUUGCUCCUGGAUUCAGCGGCGGACGGGUGAGUAAUGCCUAGGAAUCUGCCUGGUAGUGGGGGAUAACGUCCGGAAACGGGCGCUAAUACCGCAUACCUCCUGAGGGAGAAAGUGGGGGAUCUUCGGACCUCACGCUAUCAGAUGAGCCUAGGUCGGAUUAGCUAGUUGGUGGGGUAAAGGCCUACCAAGGCGACGAUCCGUAACUGGUCUGAGAGGAUGAUCAGUCACACUGGAACUGAGACACGGUCCAGACUCCUACGGGAGGCAGCAGGGGGGAAUAUUGGACAAUGGGCGAAAGCCUGAUCCAGCCAUGCCGCGUGUGUGAAGAAGGGCUUCGGAUUGUAAAGCACUUUAAGUUGGGAGGAAGGGCAGUAAGUUAAUACCUUGCUGUUUUGACGUUACCAACAGAAUAAGCACCGGCUAACUUCGU